rnacentral:rRNA from 1 species
UACGUAGGGACCAAGCGUUGUUCGGAUUUAUUGGGCGUAAAGAGCUCGUAGGCGGUUUGUCGCGUCGGCCGUGAAAUCUCCACGCUUAACGUGGAGCGUGCGGUCGAUACGGGCAGACUUGAGUUCGGUAGGGGAGACUGGAAUUCCUGGUGUAGCGGUGAAAUGCGCAGAUAUCAGGAGGAACACCGGUGGCGAAGGCGGGUCUCUGGGCCGAUACUGACGCUGAGGAGCGAAAGCGUGGGGAGCAAACAGG